rnacentral:rRNA from 1 species
GACGAACGCUGGCGGCGUGCUUAACACAUGCAAGUCGAACGGAAAGGCCCUGCUUUUGUGGGGUGCUCGAGUGGCUAACGGGUGAGUAACACGUGAGUAACCUGCCCUUGACUUUGGGAUAACUUCAGGAAACUGGGGCUAAUACCGGAUAGUAGCUCCUGCUGCAUGGUGUGGGUUGUAAAGUUUCGGCGGUUGGGGAUGGACUCGCGGCUUAUCAGCUUGUUGGUGGGGUAGUGGCUUACCAAGGCUUUGACGGGUAGCCGGCCUGAGAGGGUGACCGGCCACAUAGGGACUGAGAUACGGCCCAGACUCCUACGGGAGGCAGCAGUGGGGAAUAUUGCAAAAUGGGCGGAAGCCUGAUGCAGCAACGCCGCGUGCGGGAUGACGGCCUUCGGGUUGUAAACCGCUUUCGCCUGUGACGAAGCGUGAGUGACGGUAAUGGGUAAAGAAGCACCGGCUAACUACGUG